CAAUAGGACAGAGCGUCACUCGGGCCCCGUAAACUCCAGCCGCCGAGAGCAGGUCGCGCUUUGCUGACUGAACUCACGUUCAGUUGGCGUCGAGAUGCGCAGCGUUCACCGUCGUAUUCACAUUCUCGUUUCGCGAAUCGAUGAUCCAGUGUUUUGUUUGUGAUCGGAUCGGAUAUGGUGAUGUGAUAUUGUCCAAAGAGAGUAAUCGACACGUGGAUUAUCGAAACGAACGCUUUUGGAAGGAUCGUGGAAGGGAAGGAUUAGAAACAAAAAGAUCCAUGGCUGAAAUCAUGAGUUAAAGGUCGUCGAAUAAACGAUCCAUAGAAGAAGACUCCGUAUGAUUUUUACCAACUUGAUGUGAUCGAUCAAACUUCAUCAGAGGAUACGCUUCGAGAUGCAAGAUGUUGGAAACUAUUGACAUAAAUCUUACAUUAUAAAGAAUAAAUAUAUGCACAUGAUAAA